GAACUGAGACACGGUCCAGACUCCUACGGGAGGGCAGCAGUGGGGAAUAUUGCACAAUGGGCGCAAGCCUGAUGCAGCCAUGCCGAGUGUAUGAAGAAGGCCUUCGGGUUGUAAAGUACUUUCAGCGGGGAGGAAGGCGAUAAGGUUAAUAACCUUGUCGAUUGACGUUACCCGCAGAAGAAGCACCGGCUAACUCCGUGCCAGCAGCCGCGGUAAUACGGAGGGUGCAAGCGUUAAUCGGAAUUACUGGGCGUAAAGCGCACGCAGGCGGUCUGUCAAGUCGGAUGUGAAAUCCCCGGGCUCAACCUGGGAACUGCAUUCGAAACUGGCAGGCUAGAGUCUUGUAGAGGGGGGUAGAAUUCCAGGUGUAGCGGUGAAAUGCGUAGAGAUCUGGAGGAAUACCGGUGGCGAAGGCGGCCCCCUGGACAAAGACUGACGCUCAGGUGCGAAAGCGUGGGGAGCAAACAGG
rnacentral:rRNA from 1 species